UGCAAAUUCAAGUACUUAAUGC
rnacentral:siRNA from 1 species